rnacentral:rRNA from 1 species
AUGGACCGAGGUGAGCCCUCGUUGAAACCAGAAUGGCUGGUGCGCGGGGUUGCUACACCGACAGCAUCCGCCGCGUGUCUCCGACCAGGAACUUCACCCCGUGCAGGUGAUCAAGACAGGGGCGCUUCAUCAAGAAACCGAUCAACAGGCCGUGAUCGUGAACGGAGCUCCCAACAGUCCGCUUCACGUAGGGGUUCUGGCCCAAGUGUGUCCAGACGGCAUGAUCGGGAUGGCACAGUGAAGUCAAGAGGCUAUGCCAGUUUUGGAAGGAGCAACAGAGACAGGGUGUGUGAAAAGGACUCUGAUUUCCAUGAUUGGGAGAGUAGGUUGCGUCUUCCAGAUGGCCCUUUGCGUGAUGGCUUUGGGUCCUUUAGCUCUUGCAGACCUGAAAGCGAUAGGCUCAGUCGUGUUCGUCCAAAGCUGGACACAUCGACUCGGACAGCUGGAGUAAGUUUGGAAAAUGGUAAUCUAUCUCGAAAGGAUGCUGGUGGUAUCUCCUUUGAGCGAGAAUUUCCACACCUUAGUUCUGAGGAUAACGAUGGGAAGCAAGAUAUCAGUAGAGUUCCAUCUCCUGGAAUUAGCACCCCACUUCAGAGCAUACCAUUGGUUACUGCACCUGAUGGCUGGAACUCGGUGCUAGCAGAAGUUCCUGGACUUAGUGAGCCAAGCAAUAACUAUGUUUCUUCUGGUUUAUCACAUGCUGGUUCUGGUAGGCAGCCUGAAGUGUCGAGCUGCGGAACGGCACUAAGCAUGGCUGAAACAGUAAUGCAAGCACCAUUAAAAGUUUCCACCACACCCCAGCUAUCUGUUGAUGCUCAAAAGAUUGAAGAAAGAACUAUGAGGCUAAGACCUCUGACGCCUUCAUCAAACAAAACAUCUAUAUCAAGUUUGUCGGAUAAGUUAAAAAUUAAAGGUGCAAGAGCUGGGGAUUCUAAUGGUCCUGUGAAGACUGUGCCACAACUGUCAACACAGCCUUCUAACAGCCCUGUUCGUACUCCAGUCAAAUCUGAGCCUGUAAAGCCAUCUCAAUCAGGAAGCUUUCAAGUCCUGACCCGCGAGCAGAAUGGUGCUGCAAAUAUUGCCAGAGACUGCUCCAGCAAUCCUGUGAGUCCUGUUCUAGGUCAAUCUUCUUCAGUGGAACCACUGAAAAGGUCUAAUGUCAACCAUAAGCUUAAAGGUGUCGUAAACGGCCCCCCUUUGCAUCUACAACAAGGUUCAUCUGGUGAGAGAAAAUCAAUUGCAAAAUCAAAGCAUAUAUUCUUCGAGUUACUGCGGAGCAAAUCUUUAAAUGGUUCAAGCGCUGGUAUCGAGUCCUCAUCUAGCUUGAUUGAUGAGCAAAAGAACCCCUCUGUUGAUCUGUCCUUGUUUAACAGUGGAAUCAAGUGUAUUGAAACUGGAAGUAGUUCAUGUGAGGACGCAAAUUCUUGUGAUGGAUCUCAGCGACACUUCUCCGACAACGAGGAAAUCAAGCCACCUUCAGAACCUCAUGAUGCUUUUUAUGAGGGGUUGCAUGAGAUUGUAGUUGACAACAAGGACGCCAACUCUUCAUCAGAUCCUGUUGAUGCUGAAGAUGAAGCUAAAGCUAGUCUGUCCAUUAUACCCACAGAUACAACUGAUGUUUCAGUGAGGUCGGACUCUAGGUAUGACGAAGCCCUUUUGUCGUCUGAGCCCAUUGUAGCACGGCAAGAGGAAUCGUAUCCUACCGAAGAUGAACCAAGUCCAGAAGAAAUGGCUUUCCUUAAAUCUCUUGGCUGGAAACAAGACGAAGUAGUUCCUCCACUGAAACAGGAAGAGAUAGCUGAUUGUUUAAGGCACAACGUGAGGCUGCAGCAGAAGCUUGAGGAAUGCAGGGGCUAA